AAUCAACGCUGGCGGCGUGCCUCAGACAUGCAAGUCGAACGCGAAAGUUCCCUUCGGGGGGCGAGUAGAGUGGCGCACGGGUGAGUAACACGUAGGUAAUCUACCUUUGGGUGGGGAAUAACAGCCGGAAACGGCUGCUAAUACCGCAUAAUGCAGCGGCUCGACAUCGAGACAGUUGUUAAAGCGGGGGAGUCGCAAGACCUCGCGCCUAAAGAGGAGCCUGCGGCGGAUUAGCUUGUUGGUGAGGUAAUGGCUCACCAAGGCAUCGAUCCGUAGCCGGCCUGAGAGGGCGGGUCGG
rnacentral:rRNA from 1 species